rnacentral:rRNA from 1 species
AUUGAACGCUGGCGGCAGGCUUAACACAUGCAAGUCGAGCGGGGGAAGGUAGCUUGCUACCGGACCUAGCGGCGGACGGGUGAGUAAUGCUUAGGAAUCUGCCUAUUAGUGGGGGACAACAUCUCGAAAGGGAUGCUAAUACCGCAUACGUCCUACGGGAGAAAGCAGGGGAUCUUCGGACCUUGCGCUAAUAGAUGAGCCUAAGUCGGAUUAGCUAGUUGGUGGGGUAAAGGCCUACCAAGGCGACGAUCUGUAGCGGGUCUGGGAGGAUGAUCCGCCACACUGGGACUGAGACACGGCCCAGACUCCUACGGGAGGCAGCAGUGGGGAAUAUUGGACAAUGGGGGGAACCCUGAUCCAGCCAUGCCGCGUGUGUGAAGAAGGCCUUAUGGUUGUAAAGCACUUUAAGCGAGGAGGAGGCUACUCUAGUUAAUACCUAGGGAUAGUGGACGUUACUCGUAGAAUAAGCACCGGCUAACUCUGUGCCAGCAGCCGCCGUAA